AAAAGUUGAACAGUGAACGUUGGCUCAGUUCCUAAUACAAAUGAGGUGUGAUGAGCCUCGUGUCUGUUCACUGACCAUUUACCACUCACCCCAGUCCUGCAAAACCCUGGGGCUCCCUGUUCCCUUUUCCCCAGCUCUUCACAUGGCUCACUCCUUCCUACAUCUCAUAGAUUUACACAUUUGCUUCGUUUGUUUUGCUUUAUAAUUUUUGAUAAUUUUAUAGUGAGAAUUAUUUCAAAUUACUUUGCAGUAUUCACUUCUGGGACACAUAAAAAUAUGAGUUGGUAGAUAUAUGUGAGAACAAAUUUUAUCAGAGUUUAUAGUUAUUUAUCCAGGUAUUUUUAAAUCUGCUUUGAGAAGAUAACUGAUUUGGGAAAGUACCUAUAGCCAUAAAUAUGGAUCACUGUGUAUCAGUCCAGAAAUCACUCACUCUGUGUGACUAGAUAAACAACAUAUACAGAUCAUUUUAGUAAAGAAUGAUCUUAAGUGAGUGAACUCGUACUAGAAGCUAUAACAUGGCCGGGUUCUGGUGAAGUCCCCCUUCUGGGUUGCAGACUGCCA
rnacentral:lncRNA from 1 species